UUGAAAGGGAAACGAUUGAAGUCAGUCGUACCAGCGGNNAAUCAACCUUUCGAGUGGGGGUUUUGGAGUUUUUUGAAGAGUGUCAAAACCUUUGAGAUUUCAAAAUAUUCGCUCUUUUGGUGUACUUUCUCGUGGGUAGGUUAACAUCGAUUUUGAUCAUCAUAAAAAGAUUGGAGGAAUGUAGCUUCGAUCUUGUAUUGAAGUGUUAUAGCCUUUGGUAAAUGUGAUGAUUAGGAUCGAGGAUUGCAACGAAUACCCUUUUGGGCUAUCCGCCUGAUCUCUGAUACGUGGCCUUGGUAUCGAAAGCGUGCUUAUGGUAUUGAGGUAUUACGGUCAAAAGGUUAGAACGGAUUACAUUCGUUAAGGAUGUUGACGUA
rnacentral:rRNA from 1 species